UACGUAGGGCGCAAGCGUUUAUCCGGAAUUAUUGGGCGUAAAGAGCUCGUAGGCGGUUUGUCGCGUCUGCCGUGAAAGUCCGGGGCUCAACUCCGGAUCUGCGGUGGGUACGGGCAGACUAGAGUGAUGUAGGGGAGACUGGAAUUCCUGGUGUAGCGGUGAAAUGCGCAGAUAUCAGGAGGAACACCGAUGGCGAAGGCAGGUCUCUGGGCAUUACUGCGCUGAGGAGCGGAAAGCGUGGGGAGCGAACAGG
rnacentral:rRNA from 1 species